AGUGAACGCUGGCGGUAGGCCUAACACAUGCAAGUCGAACGGCAGCACAGUAAGAGCUUGCUCUUACGGGUGGCGAGUGGCGGUCGGGUGAGGAAUACAUCGGAAUCUACUUUUUCGUGGGGGAUAACGUAGGGAAACUUACGCUAAUACCGCAUACGACCUACGGGUGAAAGCAGGGGAUCUUCGGACCUUGCGCGAUUGAGUGAGCCGAUGUCGGAUUAGCUAGUUGGCGGGGUAAAGGCCCACCAAGGCGACGAUCCGUAGCUGGUCUGAGAGGAUGAUCAGCCACACUGGAACUGAGACACGGUCCAGACUCCUACGGGAGGCAGCAGUGGGGAAUAUUGGACAAUGGGCGCAAGCCUGAUCCAGCCAUACCGCGUGGGUGAAGAAGGCCUUCGGGUUGUAAAGCCCUUUUGUUGGGAAAGAAAAGCAGCAGGUUAAUACCCCGCUGUUCUGACGGUACCCAAAGAAUAAGCACCGGCUAACUUCGUG
rnacentral:rRNA from 1 species